CCAAACUAUUCCCGCCCCCGUCUGAACGCCCGCUGCUGGUACGCAAGCGCUGAGGGUGUGGCCUGCUGUUUUUCCAGGAGGGAGAGGCGUUUCUCUGACGAUUCGGCGUGGGCGUGGCCGGAAGUGGGAUCCUCCAGGAGCCGGUCUGUGGCUGGCGUUCAACUUUCGGGUCAGAGUUGGUGGCUCCUGGGGUGCAGGUGCUGCGUGUGAGUAUUUUAAUCUGGCCAUUUCACUGUCCGUGAAAUACAGGGAGUCUGGCCACUAGAGAAGGAGCUAAUGAAUGUUAUACUUCCCUGACACCCUAACAUCUUAUACAAAAUUGAUCAUAUGAUUACUACUUCAGAGGUCACUACAAGAAUCUUGACACCUAACAACUCUACUACCAGGAUAGGCCCCCUAAAACAUCCCAACAAACACAUCUAAAGGUUGAAGGUUGAGGCUACUGUUCAAGAUUGUCCAAUAACUGAGACACCAUUUCAAGGGACAUUGAAUUACCUAUACAAAACAUCAGAUCUUUGAACA